UCUUGCCAAGAACGGAAUAAUGGAAACCUCGAAACAUAGUUAAUACCAUUAAUGAUUUUAUACGUAGUAAAUACUACAAGUAUCUAUGACGUAGUGCUGUUAAUUGUGUGUCGUUUCUUAUAACAAUGUCUGUAUAAUUAUCACAUAAUCAUAAUUAUCAGGAUAACAUUUGGUGCUGGUAUAUAUACUGGAAUUUAUAUAAGUCAAAAUUAUGAGGUUCCUCGUGUAGAUGAACCCGGCAAGCUGGUCG